GACGAACGCUGGCGGCGCGCCUAACACAUGCAAGUCGAACGAGAGAGAGGGAGCUUGCUUCCUCAAUCGAGUGGCGAACGGGUGAGUAACGCGUGAGGAACCUGCCUCAAAGAGGGGGACAACAGUUGGAAACGACUGCUAAUACCGCAUAAGCCCACGACCCGGCAUCGGGAAGAGGGAAAAGGAGCAAUCCGCUUUGAGAUGGCCUCGCGUCCGAUUAGCUAGUUGGUGAGGUAACGGCCCACCAAGGCGACGAUCGGUAGCCGGACUGAGAGGUUGAACGGCCACAUUGGGACUGAGACACGGCCCAGACUCCUACGGGAGGCAGCAGUGGGGAAUAUUGCGCAAUGGGGGAAACCCUGAUGCAGCGACGCCGCGUGGAGGAAGAAGGUCUUCGGAUUGUAAACUCCUGUUGUUGAGGAAGAUAAUGACGGUACUCAACAAGGAAGUGACGGCUAACUACGUGCCAGCAGCCGCGGUAAAACGUAGGUCACAAGCGUUGUCCGGAAUUACUGGGUGUAAAGGGAGCGCAGGCGGGCGAUCAAGUUGGAAGUGAAAUCCAUGGGCUCAACCCAUGAACUGCUUUCAAAACUGGUCGUCUUGAGUAGUGCAGAGGUAGGCGGAAUUCCCGGUGUAGCGGUGGAAUGCGUAGAUAUCGGGAGGAACACCAGUGGCGAAGGCGGCCUACUGGGCACCAACUGACGCUGAGGCUCGAAAGUGUGGGUAGCAAACAGGAUUAGAUACCCUGGUAGUCCACACCGUAAACGAGGAUUACUAGGUGUUGGGAGAUUGACCCUCUCAGUGCCGCAGUUAACACAAUAAGUAAUCCCACCUGGGGAGUACGACCGCAAGGUUGAAACUCAAAGGAAUUGACGGGGGCCCGCACAAGCAGUGGAGUAUGUGGUUUAAUUCGACGCAACGCGAAGAACCUUACCAAGUCUUGACAUCCCUUGGCGAUGCUGGAAACAGUAUUUCUCUUCGGAGCAAGGAGACAGGUGGUGCAUGGUUGUCGUCAGCUCGUGUCGUGAGAUGUUGGGUUAAGUCCCGCAACGAGCGCAACCCUUAUGGUCAGUUACUACGCAAGAGGACUCUGGCCAGACUGCCGUUGACAAAACGGAGGAAGGUGGGGAGGACGUCAAAUCAUCAUGCCCCUUAUGACUUGGGCUACACACGUACUACAAUGGCGUUAAACAAAGAGAAGCAAGACCGCGAGGUGGAGCAAAACUCAGAAACAACGUCCCAGUUCGGACUGCAGGCUGCAACUCGCCUGCACGAAGUCGGAAUUGCUAGUAAUCGUGGAUCAGCAUGCCACGGUGAAUAAGAUCCCCCGCCUUGCACA
rnacentral:rRNA from 1 species